GCGGCGCUUGUUUAAUCAGUGUUGGUGAAGUGGGCUGAAAUGAAUUAACUGCAUUCCAGGACCUUCAAAGCUGCCCCAGGCCCGGGUCUCUGGCUGAGAGAAGAGCCAAGCAGAGGUGUCGAUUGCGCCCCAGGCUUGCUGGAGCUGGAAUUCCACUGCCCAGAAUCCCCCGUGGAACACAGAGUCCCGCAGGGGGUCGUGCCCAAGGCCAGGCUCCCAGAGUGUUAGUGAUGGCAAGAGGUGUCAGAGAUCUUUUGCCCCUUUCGGUCCUGUUAGAGAAACUGAGGCUGGUGGCAGGGAAAGUGGCUUGCUCUAACCUAGUACUUCUCAGAUGGCAACACGGGAACCUGCUGGGGAUCUUAUUAAGAUGCAGAUUGAGUCAGAAGCUCGGGGCAGGUGUGGGAUUCAGCCUUUCUAACAAGGCGGUUCUGUAGAGCCCACUGUAGGCGACAGGCCCUAGGCCUCUGUGUCCCCGUGUGUAGGACGGAAGACCAGGGUGCGCUGGUGUGUGGGUCCCUGCCAGCCCCAGCGUGCCAUGAUUUUGGUCCUGGUAACAGCUGCUUGGCCUCGGUUGACUUCAGAAGGUGUUGCUGUGACUCUGGACCAUCUCUUCCACAUCAAGCCCCCUGCCAGGCUCUCUAGAGACCGUCUUUAAGGACAAAGGCAAACUGAUGAGAAGUCAGGAGCAAUCAUAGGGUCUUUGUUGCUGUGAGUCGGCUUUCUCGAGCUGCAGUGAGCACGGGCUACUCGUCGUUGUGGGGCUCAGGCUUCUCAUCGCGGUGGCUUCUUUUGUUGCAGAGCUGGAGCUCUAGAGCACAGUCUCGAUAGUUGAGGCACGCGCUUAGUUGCCCCGCGGCAUGUGGAAUCUUCCUGGACCAGAGACAGAAUUCAUGUCUCCUGCACUGGCGGGCAGAUUCUUAACCACUGAACCACCAGGGAAGUCCCACCUCCAGUUUAUUUAUUUAUUAAUAACAAACACUACUAAGUCCAGUACUGUAUUAACUUGCUAAUCCUCAUGGCAACUUCUUGAAAACAUUCUACUUAUGGUAAUCAUUCUCACUUUACAAAUGGGGAAACGGAGGCACAAGGAGGUGAAGCAACUUGUUCAGAAUCAGAAGCAAAAGGCCAGGGUGCGGCCCCAGCUGUCUGGUGCCUUAUCCACCAUGCUGUGCAGGCUCCAUGAUCCUCCACCAGGCCGUGGUCCCUCUGAGCACUCAGUUGCUACUAACAUCUUCCCCAUCUCGUGGACAGUAGUAGGGACUCAUGGAUAGCUGCUGACUGGUUGCCUGAGUGUGAAGUGGAGGCCCCCCACGAUGGAGACUGCACCCUUCCCUCCAGGACACCUGCCUGGCUGCAAGGCUGUUGUAAAUACUUGUUUCAGGAAGACAUUGACUGGCCCCUUCAUGGACUGCAAUCUUCUCCUGGCAAAGGGGCUUGAGUUACUUGGAGAAGCUAUGAGCCAUGCCAUGCAGGGCCACCCAAGACGAACGGGUCACUGUGAAGAGUUCUGACAAAACGUGGUCCACUGGAGGAGAGAAUGGCAAACCACUGUAGUAUUCUUGCUGCAAGAAUCCCAUAACAGUAUGAAAAGGCAAAAAGUCAUGACAACAGAAGAUGCACCCCCCCUCCUCCCAGGUUGGAAUGUGUCCAAUAUGCUACUGGGGAAGAGCAGAGGGCAAUUACUAAUAGCUCCAGAAAGAAUGAUGUGGCUGGGGCAAAGCAGAAAUGACACUCAUUUGUAGAUGUGUCUGGUGGUGAAAGUAAGGUCCGUUGCCAUAAAGAACAAUAUUGCAUAGGAGCCUGGAAAGUUCAAGGUCCAUGAACUUGAGCAGUAUGUGAACCAAGAACUUUCAGAUAUACAAACUGGGUUUAGAACAGGCAGAGGAACCAGAGAUCAAAUUGCCAACAUCCAUUGGAUCAUAGAAAAAGCAAGAGAGUUUCAGUAAAACUUCUGCUUCAUUGACUAUGUUAAAGCCUUUGACUGUGCACAUCAAACGGGAAGAUUCUUAAAGACAGGGAACACCAGACCACCUUACCUGUUUCCCGAGAAACCUAUAUGUGGGUCAAGAAGCAACAGUUAGAAUGGGACAAGGGACAAUGAACUGGUUACAAAUUGGGAAAGGAAUACCAUAAGGCUGUA